UAGAAUGUAUGUCAAAGUUUCAUUUUAUUUAGACAAAACACACAGAGUAUUAACAGAUGAACAUGUGGAGAACAAUUGCUUGGUAAAGAUGGAUAAAUAUCGCACAGUACCCCUUGAUGACUGUCAAAUAUUUGAUGUAUCUAAUAUUAGAUCAUUUAAAGAAGUUUUAAAUGGGGAAUUGAGUUAUGUCUCAAAAGAGG